CCAACAGUUGCUGAAUUGGUGAG
rnacentral:siRNA from 1 species